GACGAACGCUGGCGGCGUGCCUAAUACAUGCAAGUAGAACGCUGAAGGAGGAGAUUGCUUCUCUGGAUGAGUUGCGAACGGGUGAGUAACGCGUAGGUAACCUGCCUGGUAGCGGGGGAUAACUAUUGGAAACGAUAGCUAAUACCGCAUAAUAGUAGAUGUCGCAUGACAUUUGCUUAAAAGGUGCAAUUGAAUCACUACCAGAUGGACCUGCGUUGUAUUAGCUAGUUGGUGAGGUAACGGCUCACCAAGGCAACGAUACAUAGCAGACCUGAGAGGGUGAUCGGCCACACUGGUACUGAGACACGGCCCAGACUCCUACGUGAGGCAGCAGUAGGGAAUCUUCGGCAAUGGACGGAAGUCUGACCGAGCAACGCCGCGUGAGUGAAGAAGGUUUUCGGAUCGUAAAGCUCUGUUGUAAGAGAAGAACGAGUGUGAGGGUGGAAAGUUCACACUGUGACGGUAUCUUACCAGAAAGGGACGGCUAACUACGUG
rnacentral:rRNA from 1 species